UGCAGCCUGGUGUGAACAGUGGCACCGUU
rnacentral:piRNA from 1 species